GGCCUGGGCCAGGGGGCACUGGGGAGACAGAGCGCCUCGGUCAGACUGGGCUGCACACACAGCGGACCCGCUGGCCGUGCCCCCAGCGUCUCCCCCGUCACAGGGCGGAUCCAGGCCACCCCAGCCUGGUGCUGUGUGGGGCUCCCCUGCUCUCUCUCCUGCAGCACUCCCGGCGCUCCUGGGCUCAGAAGUUUCUGAGAAAGCACCAUUUAGCCCCCGGCUCCCGCCUUCCCUUGAAGCGCUCCUGUGAAUAUUCUUCAGGAACGGAGGUUAGGAGCCCUGAUCUCCGAGCCCAGGGCUACACAGAAGAAUGUCGCUGGUUUCGGGGCCUGCCCUCAGCAGCACCGGGCUUGUUUUUCAGGUUUAGGUCAAUGGAGGGUUUUUGUUUUCUACAGGAACGAAACCCAGGGCGCUGGGUCUCGUCCUACUGGGAGACAUGGGGCAUCCUGGCAGAUGGGCCCAGGUGUUCUGGGCGUGUCUCGCCCACCCCCGACCCCCACCCCAACCCGCACCGGGAGCCCCUGCCUUCCUGGGGGUGGGGCAGGCCCCCUCCAGGAAGGAAUGUUCCACCUAGGGAAGCCCAGCUCCCUCGCCAAGGCCCCCCUGUGGAGGUGGGGGCCGAGGGCAGGCGGGUCUCAGGGUGAAAGGGAGGCAUUGAGAGAUCAGGGGCGGGGCGCAGAGGCGAAUGGGCAGGGGCGGGAGGAGGGGCGUGUCCCGGCCGGUCCCUGGACUGGGGGUGCACGCGCUGCUCAGCCCACAAAUCGGAGCAGCCCCCAGGACUUGCCCGAGGCAAGCGGAAAGCCCAGGGCUCCGCCGGCACAGAGCUGCCGCUCAGAGCCCGAAUUCUUGGAUGCAGACAAUUCACUUGCUCCCCCGCCACCUCGCCCUUCCACGGCACUCACCGCUCGUGGGGGCACAGGAGCGUUACUGCCCGCGCCUUCCACGGAAACUCAGCACGCAAACCCGCAACUGGCAGACGGCAGGACCAAGCGGAGCUGCCCUGGCAUCACACGAGGCGGCCGGCUGCUCACCCCCAGGCCGACAGCCUCCUGAAAGGGCAGACUUGCAGCCUCUCCCUGCUCCUGCUGGGAGAAGCAGGCGGCGUCUCCGGCAUCUCGUGGUUUCUCCCUCUUCCGUGAGGCCCACGGAGUUGUUGUUGUUGUUUUCUUUGCCUUCUCUUUUUAUGAAGAUGAAAUCCACACAACACGAAACUAUUUUAAAGUGAACGAUUCAGCGGCAUUUAUUACGUUCACAAUGUUGUACGAACACCAUCUCAGUCUAGUUUCAGAACAUUUUCAUGGCCCCCAAAGGCCCACCCAUGCUCUCCCCCCAGCCCCUGGGGCUUGGUGGGCCAAGUUUAUAUGAUGCUGACCAAAUUAUUUUUAUUUGGCUGUGCCAGAUCUCUGUUGCCACGUGCAGGAUCUAGUUCCCUGACCAGGGAUCGAACCCUGGCCCCCCUGCAUUGGGAGUGUGGAGUCUUAGCCACUGGACCGCCAGGGAAGUACCCUGCUCAGAUUAUUUUUAACACUCCCCUUCUCUAUAAGACAAAAUUGUUUUCAGUAAUAAUUAUGGAAAGAUGAUUAUUUUCUAGAUUUGUUCCUUGAUUUUCAAGCCAUCAACAAUUUAGGAAAGAAUUCAUUUCUAUUUUUGAAAAUGUGAUCCCAAAUCAGUAGACUAUUUCACACGUGAACUAAAUGUUAACACUUAAUAAAAACAUCACACCUUGCA
ensembl:lncRNA